AAAAACUUUUCUGUACUUCUAAGCUUUAUUGCCCAGAUAUUGCCAAAGGCAAUACUGCAACCCAGGUAGUUGUACCUGCUUUCAAGUGUCGGUGCCUCUGAACUCCAGCAUCAGUACAAAUUCAUUAAUUGAGGUAAUCUUGGUUUGUAGCAAAGAACAAGUGCAUUUUCAGCUUUACAUUCGUAGAGGUAUUUCCAAUCUUACUUUAGCAAGAUACUGCUCUUAAUGGCAUGAAAUUUUGUUUUAAUCUUGUUGCACAGCAAUAAGGAAUGCAAUCUAUAAUACUUUUCUUUUGCUGUAUCUACUAAAUUACUAACUCUGUACUUUACUGUCAUCUACAUGCCGAAUGAACAGAACACACAAACCUUAAAGAUGUAAUUAGUCACCUACUCUUUUUUCCACCAUGUUUUAGAAUGAAAGCAAAUUCUCAUUUUCUUUUCUGCCUCUUCUCCCAAACUCAACUGCUCUCUCUGGGAAUUCCUUUGCCCUGGCUGCUGACUCAAAUUUUUUUUCUUAGUUUAAAGUUUGAUUGAAAAAGGCCAUUCGUUUAUAGUCUGCUGAGUUUAAGAAGCAGAAAAAUACAAGGUGAGGAGUCAAGUCAUUAAAUUCCAUCUGUUUAAGAAGUCACAAUAUCUUUUUUUGAGAUAUUUGAUCUGUAUUCCUUGUGGAGGAGUCAAAUGCUUUGGUUAAGCCAGCUGUCAGGCUUAGUGAAGCUGAGCAGUAUUAUUACCCUCUCUGCCCAAUGGCACACCAGUAACUUCAGAGCUCAUGUACAGAUGAUGUCUUGUCCAAGUCUUAGCCUCGCAUCUAGAGACAUUAGCAUCUCUCAGUAGCUGGCAUAUUUCCUGAAAGUUUACAACAGCCAGUUCAACUGCCUGCAUAAAAAUUAGAACAAGGAUGUUGGCACAGCUGCCACUGUAAGUUACUAUGAAACCCUAAGAAGCAUUUGGACAUAAUUGCAAUCGCUGUCCUAGUUACAGUCUUCUUCCUCCCCCCAGAUACUUCAGCUGUAGAGAUGAAAAUCUUAUUUGAACUUUAUAAUCGAGGAGAUUGUGAAAGUAGACACAAUAGCAUUCCUGACUCUGCUGGGGAACAAACAAAUGUGCUUUCUAGACCUAUGUCCAUCCGUUGGGGAAGUAUGACAGUGCCAUCAAAGAUGAGCAGCAUCGUGUUCAUCGCAGCCUUGCUUCCCAAAAAAGGGACAGCGUUCCUCAGAGAACCUCUCCAAAGCAUACACAGGCUGGUGAACUGUGCAGCAUUAUUCAAAACUGCCCCCUUCUAGGAUAGUGACGAAUAUUAAAGCACACUCUAAAAUGAUUAUAUGGAAGUUGCCCUAUUUGCCAAGUAAAUGAGCUUUUCUCCUGUACUCAGUCUUCGGGGUGAUAUGGGUUUUGUUAGUAAUGAAGAGUCAGCACAGGUCAGCGAGCAAACUCAAUUGUCAACUGUCUGCGUGGAACAGAAUUGCUGCAAGCCGGGGAGAUGGAAAAUACCUUCUCAGCCCAGUCCACCUUCUCUGCUGCAUGUGCAAAGGGACUUCAGGAAUGAUGGCAUGGAAGAUGCUCACAGCAAAUUGCUCUUGGGGAACAGCCAGCACACCUUGGUUUGUCCAGCAUGUGUAGAAUCACUUUGAACUGUGAAAGGGAUCACUUCUUUUUUUUUUUUUAACUUUUAUGUUCUCAGGCAGAUAUAAAAAGUGAUUUCCUGAGAUUGGUGCAGUCUAAAAUUUUAACUUAUUUUGUACAGCUCCACUCUUUUUUUGCGCAGGAAGUUUUUUCCUCCUCUAUAACAUGAUAUGCUUUGACAAAAGCCGUUUUAUUCUUUUAUCAGCAGUAGCUUGGGAUGGGCAUAAUAUUUACAAACGAUGCCAUGAACAAGUUAUGCAAAUCAUCCAAAUGAGAGCCAGUAAGCUUUUAUAUCCUGCCAAACAAUUGUGUAUUGUAGAACUGCCACAUUUUACAGUCAAUUUGAGAAAUGUUUUAGAGACUUUAAACCAUAGUGCCCUAUUUUUCGUAUUGCUCAACAUAUGCAACAGGAUUCAUUAGUACAAGUCCAACAAUACAACCUCUGGAAUAGGAAGAAAAAAUUCACUGUAAUAGAUUUUAGAAAGCUCAGUGACUUCGAAAGGCUUCUUGGAACUUCAUAAUGCUGUCAAUUUUUUAAAGAUCUUGUCUAAAAUUUAAAACCUGUAUGAAUGUAGAGAGGCAAUCUGUGCCUUUCUACUAGGCACAGAUACACUUCCCUAGUGCAUGUAAAUGAGCCAUUAUAAAAUAAAUCAGUAAAAAGUAAUGGAUUCUCAUAAUGUAUUAAGCUUUCCAAAGGGCUCAUCUACACCACAGAAUUUACUGGUGUCUGAGCUGAGCUCAGGAUCAUUGAUGUUACUGGGGAAUUUAAAUGUUGCUCUCUGUCCCUUUUGCUGCUGUUCUGAAGGGCAUCAGUUCUAGGAGGCUCUCAUUACCCAGCAGUACUCCCACAAUCCAAGCACCCGAGCUAGAUUUGCAGUUCCUCCCUUUCCACGUUUGCUGUGAGCUGAGUGGAAUCACAGGCACGUGGAUAACGUGCGAGGUGACAGGAGCUGCGAGGCUGUCAAGGUGGGCGGCCAUGUUGGGCGGCCAUGUUGGGCGGCCAUGUUGGGGCGGCCAGGGUGGAAGUUUCCAGAAGCUGCUCCUCAGCCUUGCCUGAAGCAGGGCAUUGAGCAGGGCUCAGCACUGCUCACCCAUCGCCGGCUGCUGGCCCCAGCUUAGCAGAGUUGCAUAGGACGGCCAGGCCCCCGAGGAGAGGUCUGCAGGGAGAGCCCCAGCUGCGGCCCUGUGCUUGGGCUGAACUUACUGUUGGAGUCAAAGCGCUUUCCUCUGGCUCAGGGCACCAGCAGUUGACACAGUUGCAUUGACACUGUUUCUCGUGAAUAAUGUGGGCAAGUAUUGGCUCCUAGUCCCAGCACAUGGCUGCCCGACCACUCCUGUUGGGUGCAAACGAAGCACAGAAGCUCUGGUCCAGGAGCAGUCUCAGGUACAGCAUAUGCUGCGACUGAUGAAGCUGUUUUGCUGUUGUACCUCAGCCCAGACCCGUUCUCAGAGAUGCAUCUGAAAAGGGGUCAAGCCAGAAAAUGCACACAUACCUACUUUAGACCUGCACUGAUUCAGGAAAAAAAAAUCAAGCCGAAGUGAAGAUGUAAGAGCUCAGGAAGUACUUCAAAGGAAGCCAGUAGAAGAGAAAUGCUAGAAACUGACACUCACCUAUAACAGAAUUCUUAAAGCCUCACAUUCAAUAAACCCACAAACCAAAAGAAAUUAAGCAGCCUUUGCUGCUUCAAGUCGGCAUGCUACGGGGUUGUAACAGAUCCAUGGGCAUUAAAAACUAAUGGCAUAAAUUGGUUAUUUAAAGCCAAUAUUGAUUUGUUGCCAGAUUCUGCAUCUCAACAAUUGCACUUGAGUGUCCAUUUACUUUGCUCAGAAAUAAAUAUUCCUCCCCA